rnacentral:rRNA from 1 species
AGAAUCAACGCUGGCGGCGUGCCUAACACAUGCAAGUCGAACGAGAAAGGGUAGCAAUACCUGAGUAAAGUGGCGCACGGGUGAGUAACACGUGACUAACCUACCUUUUAGUGGGGGAUAACCUAGGGAAACCUGGGCUAAUACCGCAUAAUACCUACGGGUCAAAGCAGCAAUGCGCUGGAAGAGGGGGUCGCGGCCGAUUAGCUAGUUGGCGGGGUAAUGGCCCACCAAGGCAGUGAUCGGU